AUGAUGGCGAGCACCAGCACGGCCUCCGCGACGGCCGUGGCCGGCGCGUUCGCCGCCGCCGGCGCCAACAGGCCGCGGGGCUCCGCUGCCUGCCCGAGGGUGCCCGCCGGCGGGCGGCAGCGGCUGUCCUGCGUCGUGCGGUGUGACGCCGGCCCCGGGGUCCAGGCCCAGGCGGCGGCCAAGGCGGCCAGCGUCGCCGCGCUCGAGCAGUUCAAGAUCUCCGCCGACCGCUACAUGAAAGAAAAGAGCAGCAUUGCUGUAAUAGGCCUCAGUAUACACACAGCACCGGUUGAGAUGCGUGAAAAGCUCGCGGUCGCAGAAGAGCUAUGGCCCCGUGCUGUUGCAGAGCUAACCAAUCUUAAUCAUAUCGAAGAGGCUGCUGUUCUUAGUACCUGCAAUCGAAUGGAAAUUUAUGUGGUCGCUUUAUCCUGGAACCGAGGCAUUAGAGAGAUUGUAGAUUGGAUGUCAAAGAAAAGUGGGAUCCCUGUUUCCGAGCUCAGGGAGCACCUCUUUAUGUUGCGUGACAGUGAUGCGACGCGCCAUCUGUUUGAGGUUUCUUCUGGGCUCGACUCUUUGGUUCUUGGAGAAGGACAAAUACUUGCCCAGGUUAAACAGGUUGUCAGAAGUGGGCAAAACAGUGGAGGCUUGGGGAAGAACAUUGAUAGGAUGUUCAAGGAUGCAAUCACAGCAGGAAAGCGUGUCCGCUCUGAGACCAACAUAUCAUGUGGCGCCGUGUCGGUUAGCUCAGCUGCGGUUGAAUUAGCCCUGAUGAAGCUUCCAAAGUCUGAAUGCUUGUCAGCUAGGAUGCUUUUGAUUGGUGCUGGCAAAAUGGGGAGGUUGGUUGCCAAGCAUUUGGCUGCAAAAGGAUGCAAGAAGGUCGUUAUCGUGAACCGCUCAGUUGAAAGGGUGGAUGCCAUCCGUGAAGAGAUGAAAGACAUCGAGAUUGUGUACAGACCUCUCAAAGAGAUGUAUGAAGCUGCCGCCGAUGCAGAUGUCGUGUUCACGAGCACCUCAUCUGAAUCUCCAUUGUUCACCAAGGAGCACGCAGAAGCACUUCCUCCUGUUUCUUGUGCCCUUGGCGGUGUUAGGCUUUUCGUCGACAUAUCCGUCCCGAGGAAUGUCAGCGCCUGCGUGUCUGAUGUUGGCCAUGCACGAGUGUACAAUGUUGAUGACCUGAAAGAGGUGGUGGAAGCCAACAAGGAAGACCGGAUCAGGAAAGCAAUGGAGGCCCAAACAAUCAUUUCAGAAGAACUGAAGCGGUUUGAGGCUUGGAGGGACUCUAUGGAGACCGUUCCAACCAUCAAGAAGCUGAGAUCAUACGCCGAUAGGGUCAGGGCUUCAGAGCUUGACAAGUGCCUGCAGAAGAUCGGAGAAGAUGCUCUGACCAAGAAAAUGAAAAAAUCCAUCGAGCAGCUCAGUACUGGCAUAGUGAACAGACUUCUCCACGGCCCAUUGCAGCACCUGAGAUGCGACGGCACCGACAGCCGCACCCUUGAUGAAACACUUGAGAACAUGCACGCCCUCAACAGGAUGUUUGGCCUCGACACCGAGAAGGCGGUCAUGGAGCAGAAGAUCAAGACAAAGGUGGAGAAACAGCAAACCCAAAACUGA
rnacentral:rRNA from 1 species